GUGGCGAACGGGUGAGUAACACGUGGGUAAUCUGCCCUGUACUCUGGGAUAAGCCUGGGAAACUGGGUCUAAUACCGGAUGAUGUCUUCGGACCAAAGAUUUAUCGCCAAGGGAUGAGCCCGCGUAGGAUUAGCUAGUUGGUGAGGUAAAAGCUCACCAAGGCGACGAUCCUUAGCUGGUCUGAGAGGGUGACCGGCCACACUGGGACUGAGACACGGCCCAGACUCCUACGGGAGGCAGCAGUGGGGAAUAUUGCACAAUGGGCGCAAGCCUGAUGCAGCGACGCCGCGUGAGGGAUGACGGCCUUCGGGUUGUAAACCUCUUUCGCCAGGGACGAAGCGCGAGUGACGGUACCUGGAUAAGAAGCACCGGCUAACUACGUGCCAGCAGCCGCGGUAAUACGUAGGGUGCGAGCGUUGUCCGGAAUUAUUGGGCGUAAAGAGCUCGUAGGCGGUUUGUCGCGUCGGCUGUGAAAUCUGGAGGCU
rnacentral:rRNA from 1 species